rnacentral:rRNA from 1 species
GGUGAAAUCCUGCAGCUCAACUGUAGAAUUGCCUUUGAUACUGAAAGACUUGAGUUAUUGUGAAGUGGUUAGAAUGUGUGGUGUAGCGGUGAAAUGCAUAGAUAUCACACAGAAUACCAAUUGCGAAGGCAGAUCACUAACAAUAUACUGACGCUCAGGGACGAAAGCGUGGGUAGCGAACAGGAUUAGAUACCCUGGUAGUCCACGCCGUAAACGAUGGAUACUAGAUGUAUGACAACUUCAGGUAGAUGUGUGGAAGCUAACGUGAUAAGUAUCCCGCCUGGGGAGUACCAUCGCAAAAUUGAAACUCAAAUGAAUUGACGG